AACCCAUGUGACAUACCUUACGUUGCCUCGGCAGGUCGCGCCUACCCCGUAGCCUCCUACCCUGUAGGACCUACCCGGUAGACGCGGGUAAGCCUGCCGGCGGCCCAAGAAACUCUGUUUAGUAUUGAAUUCUGAACCUAUAACUAAAUAAGUUAAAACUUUCAACAACGGAUCUCUUGGUUCUGGCAUCGAUGAAGAACGCAGCGAAAUGCGAUAAGUAAUGUGAAUUGCAGAAUUCAGUGAAUCAUCGAAUCUUUGAACGCACAUUGCGCCCAUUAGUAUUCUAGUGGGCAUGCCUGUUCGAGCGUCAUUUCAACCCUUAAGCCUCUGUUGCUUAGUGUUGGGAGCCUACGGCACCCGUAGCUCCUCAAAGUUAGUGGCGGAGUCGGUUCACACUCUAGACGUAGUAAUUUUAUCUCGCCUAUCAGUUGGACCGGUCCCCUGCCGUAAAACACACCAAUUUCUAAAGGUUGACCUCGGAUCAGGUAGGAAUACCCGCUGAACUUAAGCAUAUCAAUAAGGCGGAGGA
rnacentral:rRNA from 1 species